AUUGAACGCUGGCGGCAGGCCUAACACAUGCAAGUCGAACGGCAGCACAGAAGAGCUUGCUCUUUGGGUGGCGAGUGGCGGACGGGUGAGUAAUGUCUGGGAAACUGCCCGAUGGAGGGGGAUAACUACUGGAAACGGUAGCUAAUACCGCAUAACGUCGCAAGACCAAAGGGGGGGACCUUCGGGCCUCACACCAUCGGAUGUGCCCAGAUGGGAUUAGCUAGUAGGUGGGGUAAUGGCUCACCUAGGCGACGAUCCCUAGCUGGUCUGAGAGGAUGACCAGCCACACUGGAACUGAGACACGGUCCAGACUCCUACGGGAGGCAGCAGUGGGGAAUAUUGCACAAUGGGCGCAAGCCUGAUGCAGCCAUGCCGCGUGUAUGAAGAAGGCCUUCGGGUUGUAAAGUACUUUCAGCGGGGAGGAAGGCGGUGAGGUUAAUAACCUCGCCGAUUGACGUUACCCGCAGAAGAAGCACCGGCUAACUCCGUGCCAGCCGCCGCCGUAA
rnacentral:rRNA from 1 species